rnacentral:rRNA from 1 species
CCCUUAGAUGUUCUGGGCCGCACGCGCGCUACACUGACUGACUCAACGAGUGUACAACCUGCUUCGACAGAAGUGGGUAAUCUUUUGAAAUUCAGUCGUGAUGGGGCUAGAUUAUUGCAACUAUUAAUCUUCAACGAGGAAUGCCUAGUAAGCGCGAAUCAUCAGUUCGCGUUGAUUACGUCCCUGCCCUUUGUACACACCGCCCGUCGCUCCUACCGAUUGAACGUUUUAGUGAGGUACUCGGACUGAGCCUCAGAAGAUUCACGUCUUUUGUGCUGCUCGGGAAGAUUCCCAAACUUGAGCGUUUAGAGGAAGUAAAAGUCGUAACA